CACCAGAAAACAGACCGGUUCGUAGACAGCUUCGAAUCGAGAGUAAAUAAGGAUGAUGAUUCAACAGUCUUGGAAAAUGCUAAAGAUUUAACUUCUCAGUACAAGCCAGGCCCACUCCUUGCCAAGCUGAAUUCUACUCUUCAGUAUGAUUAUGGCACCUCAUCUGGCCCUUCCAUCAUACAUCAUCCUGCCUUUCCUGAAUGGAGUCUUCUCAGCCUCUUCCCUAUGAGCUGACAGCAGGCAGAGCUUGCUGAGCAUGCUCUGGGAAUGGGCUGCCAUUGGCCAGAACCCCUGUUAUACUGUCCCCAAUUUCGUCCAGAGACUCUACUGUUCAGGCCUCCUCACUGACAUUAAGGGCAACUGACAUUUAGGACUUCUGGGUCCUGUUCAAUGACCUUUCUCUCUGUCUUCAUCCCACUCUGCUUCAUCAUGCACCCUAGGAGUUUUGUUGUCUUUCCAACAAGGGUGGGAUGGGGCUGUCAGAGCUGUCUGCCCCUUACCUGCUGCUCUCCACCUCUUGUUCAGGAGAACAUCAAUAACCGUUUGAUGGAUAUUGUUGACGCUGCAUAUCAGAAACAAAUUCAGAAAAAGACAGAAGUAAAGCAGCUGUUCUCUUCAGACAAGCUAAGAAGACUCCAGGAAAGACCUCCAAGGGCAGAUGUUCAUCCUAGAGUAAAGUGCAAACACCUCCAGGCCAACUCUGUAGAAACAACAAACAACAAACUGGGGGGCUGGGGUUGAGGGGUAGUCUCAGUCUUAGAAACUUUCAUCUCCUGGACAGUGUAGGGGUCUGGUGGCUGAGUAGGAGAAGAUUGAAGGACCUUCCACCAUUGAGGGACAUCAAGCACAGCUGUGCUGACCAGAUGUGUCUGGGGCUGGGCUGGUGCUGUGGGGGAGGAGUUGAACACCUGGUGAGUGCAGAAGCAGAGGGGCAGAGACCCUGCUGACUGUGGGCACUUGCUGGAAAGCAGAGUUCCUGGCUUCAAUUCCAGGCAAGAGAGGAAAGCUAUGGUUUGCAGCCACUGAAGGAACUGCAGGGAGGAAGGUCAUUUGUGGGACAGUGUGGCUGGGGUCCCUAGCUGUCCCCAAUUUCAUCCAGAGACUCUACUGUUCAGGCCUCCUCACUGACAUUAAGGGCAACUGACAUUUCUGGGUCCUGUUCAAUGACCUUCCUCUCUGUCUUCAUCCCACUCUGCUUCAUCAUGCACCCUGGGAGUUUUGUUGUCUUUCCAACAAGGGUGGGAUGGGGCUGUCAGAGCUGUCUGCCCCUUACCUGCUGCUCUCCACCUCUUGUUCAGGAGAACAUCAAUAACCAUUUGAUGGAUAUUGUUGACGCUGCAUAUCAGAAACAAAUUCAGGUGGGUCCCAAUCGCUCAGGAGUGGAGAAGAGAGCCCAAGGUUGAGCCCUGGGACAGAUCUCAGAAAAUAACAGUAAGAAAGACCUGAGGCUUGGUGCAUCAUUCCCCAUAACUUGGAGGACUAGAAUUUUAUCACACCAAUAGCUGCUAAAAACAAAUUAAAACAAAAAAAUGAAUAAAAAUGAGCAAGCAAAGGAGAAAGAACCUAUC
ensembl:lncRNA